GUAGGGAAUCUUCGGCAAUGGACGAAAGUCUGACCGAGCAACGCCGCGUGAGUGAAGAAGGUUUUCGGAUCGUAAAACUCUGUUGUUAGAGAAGAACAAGGGUGAGAGUAACUGUUCACCCCUUGACGGUAUCUAACCAGAAAGCCACGGCUAACUACGUGCCAA
rnacentral:rRNA from 1 species